rnacentral:lncRNA from 1 species
AAGAAAGCCCAAAUGGCAGCCAAAGUUGCAGCUGAGGAACGGGCACUCCUCACAGAUCGGAUGGCCACUAGAUCUACCACCCAGAAUGUUCCUAAUUUUCAAUGCAGUUCAAAGGUCUGUGGAGUGAGGAGAAAUAACUGUAUGCUCUAGGAAGAUUUACCAGGAAAAGAUGACAUGUUCUGUCAAAACUUCAUUAAGCUAAGCGUCUGGGAGACCUCAGCCAUUCCAGCCUUCAAAGAAAAUUACCUUGAAGAAACAGACGCUGUAUUGUUUAGUUUUAUAUAGCUAAUAAAUAUUUCAAAGAGCA